UGUGUGGUAUAUGUGUGAGAGUGUGUAUGAGUGCAUGUGUGUGGUGUAUGUGUGAGAGUGUAUAUGAAUGCGUAUGUGCCAUGAUAGUCCACCCACAACACAGAUUCCUCUCUCAUCUAAGUACCUAUUGGUGCGCUCAGUGGAGGCCAGAAUGACUCUGUUCCUGGACCUAAAAUCCCUCCACGUGGACACUGACCGACACCAAGAAAACCUCCUAAAGAACUGUCCGUCCGUCUGUCCGUCCGUCCGUCCGUCUUGCCUUCUCUUAAAAGCCAAGGAUGGGAAAGACACACAUUGCCCUGGGAGGUGCCGUUAACCAGGAAAUAUCCUUUCAACAAUUCACCUGCUCAACAAUCAGCUGAAUGGCUUGAUUUUGGUUGUGAUUACAGUAGACGCCCAUGGCCUGGCCUGGUUGGGCCGCAGAGUUGGUAGGAUGUCAGGAUGGGGGUGUCAGACUCUGCCUCUGGGGGAGUCCCUGCCCCUCUCCCAGCCUCAGUUUCCUAACCAUAAAGAAGGGGAUGGAGGUUGGUUCUAAGGAAAAUUUCGCCUCUGACCUUUCCCUCGUAACCAUGUAUGAGCCUAUCUCUGCCUUCUGCCCAUCCUCCUCCUGCAGGGUCAGGCAUUUUUACAGCCCAUGUCUCUCUUUAUAUCAUGGUGAAGAAGAGGAACUGUGUGCCACUGAAUUCACCAGUGAGAGCGUAGGAGUAUCUGAUGGGAGAAAGCCCUGCCAGCCCUGUCUGCCAAUGCUACUCACUGGGCCAGGCUCAAGGUCUUCUCCUGGCCAAACCCCAGCCUCCGCCCAGCCACUCACCUCAACAUUGACAAGCAGCUGGCCAUCACUGGAUCAUCCUUGACUAAGCCUCAAACCCCAGCUUUCAGCCAGUUCCCUCUCUCCUUCUCUCCCCUGAGGGUCAUCCAGAGAGAAGCAGAACUUGCUUGACCUGACCUCAAGAAGCUAGGCCCCCAAGGGGGGGACCACUGGAGCCUUACCCCCCUCUCCCCAGCCCCCACAGGAAGAUUCUUGUUUAACACACAAUGAGAGACACAGAACCUGGAGGGCACAGGGCAGUUGCCCCCCUCCCCAAGAUCUUGGCCGCUGGCCCAUCAGGGCUGGCAGUGGCUCAGCUGGCCUCAGCGCACUCCCCUGGAAAGAAAUCCCUGCUACUCACUCCUUGCUCCUACCCUCCAGCUGGCCUGCAAGUCUCCAGUUUGGGACAAGAAGAUUCAGACCUCCAAAAUCCCAUAGCACCGUGCAGAGAGUCAGGUAAGGAGCCAAGGACCUGGUAAAGAACUACCCUUUACUACCCAAGGUCUAGCCCUUCCCUGAAGCUUCCCUGAGUCCAUUCAUCACAGGGAGGGGCCAGGACCUUUGAACCUCACAUCUAAGGCCUAAAGAAGGCAGGUAACAAGUUUGGGGACCCCCAUGGAUGAGCAGAAGGACCUUUUAAGUAACGUUAACUUCUCACUGGGAAGGACGGUGAGUUCACAUCUGCCUCCUGGUCCCUACGGGGCAAAUUUUUACUUCCCUCUCCUACUAUGAGGGGAAGAAAGUGCUGGGACUCGGACACUCUGGAGACAGCUUCUGGGGUUGAGUACAACCACAACUUCCAGGCAGACGUCUCCCUAAGGGGUCCUUUCCUUGGAUCUGGGCUGGGAUUCAAACUCCAGCCUUGAUGACUUGCAAGCCUCGGUUGAAACCACAUGGCCCAGGGUAGAGCUUCUCGAGUGGAGGGAGGAGGAGGGCACAGUUCACAGUGAGCGUGGGCAGCUGCCUCAGCCCUGGUUUAGCUCUUGGGAGUCCUGUGAUGCCUAGAUCCUGGAGCUGUUUAGAAGCUUUGCACUUUAACCCAACUCUGAGCAAGUAGUCAGAAUAGAUUCUACUGGCUCCUGCGGGUGUGGCUUGGAAGAAGGCACCAGGGCACCCUCUAUCAUCCUCGGCCCUGAUGCUCUUUGGACUUCUAACAGGAACUGAACGGACACUUCCAGUGGUGAGAAUGAGCCACGGAAAGAUGGUGCCAUCUCAGUCAUGACCAAUCAGGUAAAGAUUCAGCUGAGCCCUCCCCACAGGCAAGCACAGGGGGCCCUGGAUCCUCUCUCCAGCCUGCUCCAGAGGUCCCCAAGGAGUCCACUUUGAAGCAUAUCUUGCCCGAUGGGUUCCCUCUGCCUCUCCCUACCUUGGGGCGUGUGCCUGCAUACUUAAGCACCAUCUGUAAAGGGUAUCUGGGGUACCGAGCCUCGCUUCUAAGGUCCAAUGAUAACAGGUAACAAGCUUGGGGAACCCCCUGGUGGAAGUUACUACCUUUGGAAUAACUUCAACUUCUCACUCAUUCCUUGAGUACCUACUAUGGGCCGGUCAUUACAGAAGGCUAGAGAGAAACAGUAGGAAAGACCUUCAUUCUUUGCAGGCCUGGCCCUUGUAACUGGCAGGCGACCCCUGGCCUGAAGAUGGGGGAAGGGUGAAUGAAGGAUGGACGAGCUUCAUUAGAGGUCUGGUGGGAGGAGCACUUGCUUAUUUGGGGCACCCCAGGAAACUCUCACAUAGAUGACACUGAGACGAGACACCGAGACAAGAGGAUGUCUGACGAUGACAUUGAUGGGAAACAGGGAUAGUUCUCGACCAGCAGUUCUCAACCUAUGGGUCAUGACCCAUUUGGGGGUCACAUGUCAGAUAUCCUGCAUAUCAGAUGUUU